rnacentral:misc_RNA from 1 species
AAAGUCGUAACAAGGUUUCCGUAGGUGAACCUGCGGAAGGAUCAUUACAGCGUAUACGCGGGGUUCGCCCUGUUAUACCCGUCCUCAUGUCAUUCACGUUCUCCCGUGGUCUUCGCCGUCUCCGCAAGGGGGUGGUGGGGCACGUCUGAACUCAUUCAUACUUCGGUCGAGGUGUUCGGUUACCGGGCGGUUAAUCACCAAUCGGGACAGGACCGCGAUCGGUGGUCGGUCUUUGUUGGCCGGUUCCAUCUUCCACUCUUUGAGAACUUCUGAAGUCUGAGUACAAUUUACAAAUAAAAGCAAAACUUUCAACAACGGAUCUCUUGGCUCUG